rnacentral:lncRNA from 1 species
AGAAAUUUAGAUGUUAUUUAUGUCAAUCUUGGAAAUUGGAAUAUACUCCAGUUGCAGCUCGGACUUAUCCCUACAAACAAAUUCCACAACUUUCAAUGAAAAUAAACAAAAUAGAAAAGCAACUGGAGUUAACCGACCUUCUUUUCUCCCAAAAACAAAGAUAAAAGGUAAAAGAUUUUCAGAAGGAAACAAUUAAAUUCAAGAAGUCAAUGGCUUACCUCAAAUCUAUAAUUGGGGGACCUGGUAAAUAAAACCCAUCUGAAUUGAAGCUAGGAAAAACAUACACAUCAUGCCAAGUUUGUAUUUUGGAUAUUAAAAAGCAGAUAAUUAAUGGGUUCCUCCAUUUUCGUGGCAAACAAAACGAUGAAAGAGAAACGGAAAAUUUCCACUAUACAGUUGGUAAGUAAACUUAAAGUAACUAACUUGGCGUCGAUGGCUUCCCCUAAUCCUCUGGUUUCGACGUCUCCGAUUCGUAGAACCACCAAAACACCCAAGAAAACAGCCCAUUUACAGACUCCCUUUUAUCUUGAUGUCAGGGAUUUUGAUUCAUUUCUAGGGGAUGAUGAAGAUUUCAAUCUCAGAGUUGGUAAAGGGUCUUCUACAUUUUGGAGAGAGAAAAAGAGGGAGAGAGAAGCGUUGGGAUCCGAGGGAGGAGAAAGCGUGUAAUACCCCCAAAAAAAAAAUAAUAAUAAAAAUUAUUUUAUUUUAAAAUAUAUUAAUUGGAUUUUGUCAUUUAUUUUGAGUCAAACUAGUUAUAUAAUUUGUGUUGACUAAUAAAUAUAGGGUCCUUUACAAUAAUAUACAAC